GAUUAUGGCUCAGGAUGAACGCUAGCUACAGGCUUAACACAUGCAAGUCGAGGGGCAUCAUUAUCGAAGCUUGCUUGAUAGAUGGCGACCGGCGCACGGGUGAGUAACGCGUAUCCAACCUUCCCCUUAGUAGAGGAUAGCCCGGCGAAAGUCGGAUUAAUACUCUAUGUUGUAUUUUGAGGACAUCUGACGAAUACCAAAGAUUUAUCGCUAAGGGAUGGGGAUGCGUCUGAUUAGCUUGUCGGCGGGGUAACGGCCCACCGAGGCGACGAUCAGUAGGGGUUCUGAGAGGAAGGUCCCCCACAUUGGUACUGAGACACGGACCAAACUCCUACGGGAGGCAGCAGUGAGGAAUAUUGGUCAAUGGGCGAGAGCCUGAACCAGCCAAGUAGCGUGCAAGGAUGACUGCCCUAUGGGUUGUAAACUGCUUUUAUGCGGGAAUAAAGUGAGGUACGUGUACCUUUUUGUAUGUACCGCAUGAAUAAGGACCGGCUAAUUCCGUGCCAGCAGCUGC
rnacentral:rRNA from 1 species